UUAUUGGGCUUAAAGCGUCCGUAGCCGGUUUAGCAAGUCUCCUGUUAAAUUCAGCGACCUAAUCGUUGAGCCGCGGGAGAUACUACUAGGCUAGGAGGCGAGAGAGGCCGACGGUAUUCUCGGGGUAGGGGUGAAAUCCUAUAAUCCCGGGAGGACCACCAGUGGCGAAGGCUGUCGGCUAGAACGCGCUCGACGGUGAGGGACGAAAGCUGGGGGAGCAAACCGGAUUAGAUACCCGGGUAGUCCCAGCUGUAAACGAUGCGGGCUAGGUGUUGGGGUGGCUACGAGCCACUU
rnacentral:rRNA from 1 species